rnacentral:tRNA from 1 species
GGGGGCGUAGCUCAGCUGGAAGAGCAUUGCGUUUGCAACGCAAAGGUCACGGGUUCGAGCCCCGUCGCCUCCACCA